AGCGAACGCUGGCGGCAGGCUUAACACAUGCAAGUCGAACGAACUCUUCGGAGUUAGUGGCGGACGGGUGAGUAACACGUGGGAACGUGCCUGUUGGUUCGGAAUAACUCAGGGAAACAUGUCUUAAUACCGCAUGUGCCCUUCGGGGGAAAGAUGUAUCGCCAUUGGAGCGGCCCGCGUCUGAUUAGCUAGUUGGUGAGGUACCGGCUCACCAAGGCGUCGAUCAGUAGCUGGUCUGAGAGGAUGACCAGCCACACUGGGACUGAGACACGGCCCAGACUCCUACGGGAGGGAGGGGAGGGGAAUCUUGCGGAAUGAGCGAAAGCCUGACGCAGCCAUGCCGCGUGAAUGAUGAAGGUCUUAGGAUUGUAAAAUUCUUUCACCGGGGACGAUAGUGACGGUACCCGGAGAAGAAGCCCCGGCUAACUACGUG
rnacentral:rRNA from 1 species